rnacentral:rRNA from 1 species
AUUGAACGCUGGCGGCAGGCCUAACACAUGCAAGUCGAGCGGAUGACGGGAGCUUGCUCCUGGAUUCAGCGGCGGACGGGUGAGUAAUGCCUAGGAAUCUGCCUGGUAGUGGGGGACAACGUUUCGAAAGGAACGCUAAUACCGCAUACGUCCUACGGGAGAAAGCAGGGGACCUUCGGGCCUGGCGCUAUCAGAUGAGCCUAGGUCGGAUUAGCUAGUUGGUGAGGUAAUGGCUCACCAAGGCGACGAUCCGUAACUGGUCUGAGAGGAUGAUCAGUCACACUGGAACUGAGACACGGUCCAGACUCCUACGGGAGGCAGCAGUGGGGAAUAUUGGACAAUGGGCGAAAGCCUGAUCCAGCCAUGCCGCGUGUGUGAAGAAGGUCUCCGGAUUGUAAAGCACUUUAAGUUGGGAGGAAGGGUUGUAGAUUAAUACUCUGCAAUUUUGACGUUACCGACAGAAUAAGCACCGGCUAACUCUGUGCCAGCAGCCGCAGUAACAC